UACUGCACUCUAAAAACACUCUGGUCAAAUUUGGGUUAAUUCAACCAGUACGGGGUCAAAAAUCCACCCACACAAGUCUGGUUAAAAAAAAUUAACCAUUUUCCUGGUUAAAAGUCCAAAAAAGUGUACCAAAUUUUUGUUGAAUUGAUAAUUUUUAACCAGGAAAUGGGUCAAAUUUAACCAGAAUGUGUUGGGUGGAUUAUCAACCCAAUUCCUGGUUGAAUUUAACCAGAGUGUUUUUAGAGUGUGUAUUUGCUUUUU